UACAGAGGCCCCAAGCAUUACCCGGAAUCACUGGGCGUAAAGGAUGUGUAGGCGGUCGUAUUAGUCUUUCGUGAAAGCACUCGGACUCAAUCCGGGUAACGCGGGAGAAACGGUACGGCUACGAGGAUGCGAGAGGUAUAGGGAACUCAUGGUGUAGGGGUGAAAUCCGUUGAUAUCAUGGGGAACACCAAAUGCGAAGGCACUAUACUGGCGCACUCCUGACGCUGAAACAUGAAAGCGUGGGAAUCGAACGGG
rnacentral:rRNA from 1 species